ensembl:lncRNA
GGAGCCAGAGAGCAGCGAUUGGUCAGACCAUAGAUAAUACAGAAGACAGCGUGCUAGCGUAUCUAGUCUAUGUAUAUCUGUGGUCGGCACGUCUGGUAGCAUCUCUGGCUGCUGUUGAUCUUGUUUUUGGCGUAAAACACGGUGGAAGCUGAAUUAGUGAGGAUGACUCCUGCUCCUGUCAUCUCUAAGCUCCUCACACAUCUUUACCUGCACAUGAGGAAAAUCACUCCUGUAGAAUGCAGGUAUGUUUGUCAUUAUUAUAAAAAGAUGUUGCCUGGUGACCUGUCAGAAACCCAUUAUACAGAGUCAGCCAAAAUAAUGUUUACACACAUCAGGAAAAGAAAAACUUGCAUGAAUGUUUCAAUACCAAAUUUAUUCAGACAUCAUGAGAUUAAUAAAAGUUAUCUUUGGCCUCUACAAUUACAAGAGGUGCUCAAAGUGGUGGCCAGUGGCUUCCAGACAUUUCUGUUGUGUUGUAGACGUCACUUGUUGAUGCUCCAUUCAUGAGGGUAGCGCCAUCUGUUGGGAAAACAUCGUACAACAGGACACAGAGUUGUCAUGAUUUGAUCAAACUUAGAAAGAG